GCCCCGAUGGCGGAAUUGGUAGACGCGCAUGGUUCAGGUCCAUGUACUGCAAGGUGUGGAGGUUCAAAUCCUCUUCGGGGCACCA
rnacentral:tRNA from 1 species